UACGAAGGGUGCAAGCGUUAAUCGGAAUUACUGGGCGUAAAGGGUGCGUAGGUGGGCAGGUAAGUCAGUGGUGAAAUCUCCGGGCUUAACCCGGAAACUGCCGUUGAUACUAUUUGUCUUGAAUAUUGUGGAGGUAAGCGGAAUAUGUCAUGUAGCGGUGAAAUGCUUAGAUAUGACAUAGAACACCAAUUGCGAAGGCAGCUUACUACACAAUGAUUGACACUGAGGCACGAAAGCGUGGGGAUCAAACAGG
rnacentral:rRNA from 1 species